rnacentral:lncRNA from 1 species
CACCACUGCCGCCGCCGCCGCCGCCUAGCCGUGUUCAUCGCCGCUCGUCGCAACGAUCUCCGCGUUUAUCUCCGCUACCACUGCCAUCUCCACCACCAGCGCCGCCAUCGCAUGCUUAUCCUCCUCCUCCUCCUCCACUGCAGAAACCCCACACUCCACCGACACCAUCCUCCAAGCCUCCGCCCCCACCCAUCGAACCCAUUUUACCUCCACCAACGCCAAAACGUCACCCCAAGCAUCCGCCCCCGCCGUCGCCGCCGCCGCCAUCCCACAUGCCUCCUCCCCCACCCAUCCACCCCAUUUAUCCUCCACCAACACCAAACCGCCACCCCAAGUAUCCACCCCCGCCGUCGCCGCCAUCCCACAUUCCUCCUCCCCCACCCGUCCGCCGCUCCCACCCUCCAUCACCACCAGCCAACCACUCUAAAUAUCCACUGCCGCCACCGCCCCCCGUACGCAAAUGACCUCCUCCUAGUCAAAAAUCUCCACCGCCGCCGCUGCCACCAGUCCGCACAUCACCACCACCGGCCAUCCACCAUAACAAGUCACCUCCACCUCCUCCCAGUUUCAAC